rnacentral:snoRNA from 1 species
GGCCAGUGAUGUAAGAAAAUAUUUGCUACUCUUGAUGGAAUUAUAUGUAAUUUCAUUUGACGAUUCCUAUCCACCAAGAUCUCUGAGGCC